GGAGGGGUGCAAGCGUUAUUCGGAAUCACUGGGCGUAAAGAGCGCGUAGGCGGUUUCUAAAGUCAGAUGUGAAAGCCCCGGGGCUCAACCCCGGAAGUGCAUUUGAAACUUAGGGACUUGAGUAUGGGAGAGGGAAGUGGAAUUCCUGGUGUAGCGGUGAAAUGCGUAGAUAUCAGGAGGAACACCGGUGGCGAAGGCGACUUCCUGGACCAAUACUGACGCUGAGGCGCGAAGGCGUGGGGAGCAAACAGGAUUAGAUACCCUGGUAGUCCACGCAGUAAACGUUGAACACUAGGUGUAGCGGGUAUUGACCCCUGCUGUGCCGCAGCUAACGCAUUAAGUGUUCCGCCUGGGGAGUACGGCCGCAAGGCUA
rnacentral:rRNA from 1 species